UGUAGGUGGGCAUUCAGGUGAGUCUUUCGUGAGAAGCCCUCAUGGCAUGAAGGGCAUUGAAAUGGCUUCUCGCCUGUGUGGGUGCGCAGGUGGUCUUUCAGGUGAGUAUUUUGUGAGAAAGUACGAGGGCAUGAAGGACACUGCCAUGGCUUCUCGCCUGUAUGAGUGCGCAGGUGGAUUUUGAUUUGGGACUUUUGUGAGAAGCUCCGAAGGCAUAAAGGGCAUUGAUAUGGCUUCUCGCCUGUGUGGGUGCGCAGGUGGCCUAUCACGUUGGACUGUUGCGAGAAGCUUCGAGGGCAUGAAGGGCACUGCCACGGCUUCUCACCUGUGUGGGUGCGCAGGUGGUGUGUCAUACUGACCUUAUGCGAGAAGCGUCGAGGGCAUGAAGGGCACUGCCACGGCUUUUCACCUGUGUGAGUGCGCAGGUGGGUUU